CUGAGUGUGAUUAAACCUAGGAGCAGCUCCAUUGACCUACUACUUGACUCAGAAGAGAGAGAAUGGGAAGUGACAGUUUGGGCUACCAUGUCCAGCUCCCAGCUAGCAAAGGCCCUGAUACCAUAUUAAUAUGCUUGCUGGGAGGAAUUAAGCUCACGCUAGUCCCUUCUGCCUGUUCCAGAGCCCCCUCCCUAUGAUGCUCAGAAAUCUUCCUCUCACAUGCAGCUGAAAUUUAUUCAUGGCCUGCUUAGACUCAUUUGUUCCUGUGCCAACAUUGUCCUUUGGCUUAAAUUGCUCUCCUCCCUCCCUGGUGUUUAUCCUCCCGAUGUAUUUAUAGAUAGCAAUCAGAUCCCCUCUCAGCUUUCAUUUUGCUAGGCUAAACAAGCCAAACUUUUCCCAGUCUCCUCUCAUAAGACAGCCACUCUAUUCCCCUGUUAUCCUCACACCCUCUAGAAAGUCAUGUACAACAUUCAUGACCAUGCAAGUGGUAAAACUAAGCAGGACUUUUAACUCCACAAGUCCAGUGACUCACACUGCAGACACCUACACACAUUCCUCUGAUGUUUUGGAAAUGCCUCUGGUGGCCACUUGUCCACAGAAAAUGAGAGCACCUCUCCACCUCUAUGCUCUUGAACAAAAGUAAGGUCUGAUCUGCCUAUAGGGAAAAGAGGUUGCUCCAGCUCACCACCAAGGCCAACCAAAGGAGCAAGGACAUCAGCUGCAAGGAGUACAAGCACUAGGAACUGUGAGUGAGGGAAAGGUGGUCAGCAUCAGCUUGUUCAGAGAAGGGUGGCUAAGCUAGUGAGGGGUUUGGAGCACAAGUCUGAUGAGGAGUGGCUGAGGAAGCUGGGAUUGUUCAGUCUGGAGAAGAAGAGGCUCAGGGGUGACCUUAUCACUCUCUACAACUACCUGAAAGGAGGUUGUGGAGAGGUGGGGUUAGCUUCUUCUCCCAUGUAACUGAGGGAAUGGCCUCAAGUUGCGCCAGGGGACCUGCUCCAUAAUCCUCCCAGGCACGGAUGUGAGGCUCACCAGCCUGUAGUUUCCUAGGUCUUCC
ensembl:lncRNA